rnacentral:rRNA from 1 species
UGGGGAAUAUUGGACAAUGGGCGCAAGCCUGAUCCAGCAAUACCGCGUGUGUGAAGAAGGCCUGAGGGUUGUAAAGCACUUUCAAUAGGGAGGAAUACCUGCCGGUCAAUACCCGGUAGACUGACAUUACCUAUACAAGAAGCACCGGCUAACUCCGUGCCAGCAGCCGCGGUAAUACGGAGGGUGCAAGCGUUAAUCGGAAUUACUGGGCGUAAAGCGUGCGUAGGCGGUUCGUUAAGUCAGAUGUGAAAGCCCCGGGCUCAACCUGGGAACUGCAUUUGAAACUGGGGGACUAGAGUUAGGUAGAGGGGAGUGGAAUUUCAGGUGUAGCGGUGAAAUGCGUAGAUAUCUGAAGGAACACCAGUGGCGAAGGCGACUCCCUGGACCCAAACUGACGCUGAGGUACGAAAGCGUGGGUAGCAAACAGG